rnacentral:rRNA from 1 species
GACGAACGCUGGCGGCGUGCCUAAUACAUGCAAGUAGAACGCUGAAGGAGGAGCUUGCUUCUCUGGAUGAGUUGCGAACGGGUGAGUAACGCGUAGGUAACCUGCCUGGUAGCGGGGGAUAACUAUUGGAAACGAUAGCUAAUACCGCAUAACAGUAGAUGUUGCAUGACAUUUGCUUAAAAGGUGCAAUUGCAUCACUACCAGAUGGACCUGCGUUGUAUUAGCUAGUUGGUGGGGUAACGGCUCACCAAGGCGACGAUACAUAGCCGACCUGAGAGGGUGAUCGGCCACACUGGGACUGAGACACGGCCCAGACUCCUACGGGAGGCAGCAGUAGGGAAUCUUCGGCAAUGGACGGGAGUCUGACCGAGCAACGCCGCGUGAGUGAAGAAGGUUUUCGGAUCGUAAAGCUCUGUUGUAAGAGAAGAACGAGUGUGAGAGUGGAAAGUUC